CCUACGGGAGGCAGCAGUGGGGAAUAUUGCACAAUGGGGGAAACCCUGAUGCAGCGACGCCGCGUGAGUGAAGAAGUAUUUCGGUAUGUAAAGCUCUAUCAGCAGGGAAGAUAAUGACGGUACCUGACUAAGAAGCUCCGGCUAAAUACGUGCCAGCAGCCGCGGUAAUACGUAUGGAGCAAGCGUUAUCCGGAUUUACUGGGUGUAAAGGGAGCGCAGACGGCAGUGCAAGUCUGGAGUGAAAGCCCGGGGCCCAACCCCGGAACUGCUCUGGAAACUGUGCGGCUAGAGUACUGGCAGGGCAG
rnacentral:rRNA from 1 species